rnacentral:lncRNA from 1 species
CCACCAAUUAGGCACAGCUCUUUCUAAUCAGGGCUACUUCCUUAUCAGAGCAACUACUUGUUUCAGUGAGCAGAGCACUAUAUCAGUAGUUGUUUCAGUGCUCUGUUACAUUUUCUGUGAAGGAGAAUGCUGGAUGUAUACAAUCCUCUAACCAAAUGGUGUAGCAAUUAGUUGAAUACAUUUCUUGUUGUUAGGACUAGUCUCUAUUUUAUACUUUUUGAAGAACAAGAGAUGAGGCUAUACACACUACUUCUUGAAUACAUUCUAGGUAGAUCCAAACUUGAAAGAUACAGCUAGAAGUAGACCAGGUGUCACAACAGCCUAACAUAUCAAGAACUGAAUAAGCUGGAGGCCCAGCUGCUUUGCUUCAUGUGAGGAUUUCAGCAACCCAAAUCCCAUCCUGUCCUAGCUGUUCAUUGCCCGGACCUGCAGGAGCUAAAAGUAUCACAGAAGCAGCACUGUCGACCUCAGCACGGAGUCACCUUCCAGUGAGCUUGCAUAGAAAAGCUGUAGUAAUAAGGCCUUCCAGCUAUUGUUACUGACUGUCACGAAC